CUUCAGAACUGACAAAGCAAGGCAACGAUCGACAAGUCUUUCCUUCAAUACAACAACUAUCUAAGAUGAGGACUAGCCCGACGUUGCUCUUGGUCGUCACCUUCCUUAUCCUAGCAUCAGAUGUGGCAACGAAGGCGUCAGCCGCCGUUGAAGGAAACCCCUGUGUGACAAGCAUUAUCCCAUCACCAAAGCCAUGUGCUAACAAGAGCUGCAAUCAGGCAUGCAUAGAUCAUACAUGGGGCAUCGGAUAUGGCAAGUGUGUUGUGGAGGGGUGCAAGUGCGAGUAUUGCAUUAAAAUGGAUACUAAUUAGCUAGGGUCGGAUGUCAUGUUCAACUAAAUAACAUAAUGAGAUCAUAAAUUGUGUGGCAAGAAGGUUGUUCUCCAAUAAGACAUAUGAAGAAUGAUGAAUUUUACCUUUCUUCUUGAUUUAUCUGA